AUUAUUACUCUUUCUUUUCGUUACUGCCAACUUCCUCUUCCUCUUCGAGUUCAGGUUCGCUGUCACUAGCAUCUUCACCAGCUCCAGCUCCUCCAAGGUUACCAAAUUGACUGAAGUCCAUACCGCCCAUACCUCCAAGUGCGCUCAAAUCUGGCAUGCCACCUGCGCCAAAUGGACUAACUUCAGGUUGUGCUUCUUGCUCAUCCUCGUCAACCCAACGAUCAAAAUCCGUUCUGAGCCAGUGUAAUCGAAGUUUCUCUUUAGUAAGACGAGGCCAAAACUCUUCUUGUAAUUCCUUCUUGUAUAAGACGAAAAAGAUGUAGCGGCCGGUAACAGAGUACUUGCUUUUCUCGACAUCAAUGUCCUUAAAAAAGUCAAUUUGAACUGCGU